GUCUAUGGCCAUGGCACCCUGAACAAGCCCGAUCCCGUCUGCUCUCAGAAGCUAAGCAGGGUCGGGCCUGGUUAGUACUUGGAUGGGAGACCACCUAGCAAGACCGGGCAUAAAAAAUA
rnacentral:rRNA from 1 species